rnacentral:rRNA from 1 species
AGAGUUUGAUCAUGGCUCAGGACGAACGCUAGCGGCGCGCUUAACACAUGCAAGUCGAGCGGAAAGGCCCUUCGGGGUACUCGAGCGGCGAACGGGUGGGUAACACGUGAGCAACCUGCCCUUGGCUUUGGGAUAACCCCGGGAAACCGGGGCUAAUACCGAAUAUCCACGCAUCGUCGCAUGACGGUGCGUGAAAAGAUUUUUCGGCUGAGGAUGGGCUCGCGGCCUAUCAGCUUGUUGGUGGGGUAACGGCCUACCAAGGCUUCGACGGGUAGCCGGCCUGAGAGGGCGACCGGCCACACUGGGACUGAGAUACGGCCCAGACUCCUACGGGAGGCAGCAGUGGGGAAUAUUGCACAAUGGGCGCAAGCCUGAUGCAGCGACGCCGCGCGAGGGACGAAGGCCUUCGGGUUGUAAACCUCUUUCGGCAGGGCACGAAGCGCAAGUGACGGUACCUGAAGAAGAAGCGCCGGCCAACUACGUGCCAGCAGCCGCGGUA